AGAGGAAAGUGGAAUUCNUAGUGUAGCGGUGAAAUGCGUAGAUAUUAGGAAGAACACCAGUGGCGAAGGCGACUUUCUGACGAAAACUGACGCUGAGGCGCGAAAGCCAGGGGAGCGAACGGGAUUAGAUACCCCGGUAGUCCUGGCCGUAAACGAUGGGUACUAGGUGUAGGAGGUAUCGACCCCUUCUGUGCCGGAGUUAACGCAAUAAGUACCCCGCCUGGGGAGUACGACCGCAAGGUUGAAACUCAAAGGAAUUGACGGGGGCCCGCACAAGCGGUGGAGUAUGUGGUUUAAUUCGACGCAACGCGAAGAACCUUACCAGGUCUUGACAUUGAUGGACAGAACCAGAGAUGGUUCCUCUUCUUCGGAAGCCAGAAAACAGGUGGUGCACGGUUGUCGUCAGCUCGUGUCGUGAGAUGUUGGGUUAANNNNNNNNACGAGCGCAACCCCUAUCUUAUGUUGCCAGCACUUUGGGUGGGGACUCAUGAGAGACUGCCGCAGACAAUGCGGAGGAAGGCGGGGAUGACGUCAAAUCAUCAUGCCCCUUAUGACCUGGGCUACACACGUACUACAAUGGGAGUUAAUAGACGGAAGCGAGAUCGCGAGAUGGAGCAAACCCGAGAAACACUCUCUCAGUUCGGAUCGUAGGCUGCAACUCGCCUACGUGAAGUCGGAAUCGCUAGUAAUCGCAGGUCAGCAUACUGCGGUGAAUACGUUCCCGGGCCU
rnacentral:rRNA from 1 species